AGCGAACGCUGGCGGCAGGCCUAACACAUGCAAGUCGAACGAACUCUUCGGAGUUAGUGGCGGACGGGUGAGUAACACGUGGGAACGUGCCCUUUGGUACGGAAUAACUCAGGGAAACUUGAGCUAAUACCGUAUGUGCCCUUCGGGGGAAAGAUUUAUCGCCAUUGGAGCGGCCCGCGUCUGAUUAGCUAGUUGGUGAGGUAAAGGCUCACCAAGGCUACGAUCAGUAGCUGGUCUGAGAGGAUGAUCAGCCACAUUGGGACUGAGACACGGCCCAAACUCCUACGGGAGGCAGCAGUGGGGAAUCUUGCGCAAUGGGCGAAAGCCUGACGCAGCCAUGCCGCGUGAAUGAUGAAGGUCUUAGGAUUGUAAAAUUCUUUCACCGGGGACGAUAAUGACGGUACCCGGAGAAGAAGCCCCGGCUAACUUCGUGCCAGCCGCCGCCGUAA
rnacentral:rRNA from 1 species